AAAAAAAAAAAAAAAAAAAGCGGGGCAGUGGUGGAGCAUGGCUUUAAUCCCAGUGGGAGGCUGAGGCAGAUGGACCUCUGAGUUCAAAGCCAGCCUGGUCUACAAAGUGAGUUCCAGGAGAGCCAGGGCUAUACAGAGAAACCCUGUGCUGAAAACAAAAAACACAAACCAACAAACAUAAAAACAGCCUUUAAAAUAAAAACAAGAUGAAUCAAAAUAUAGGGCUGAACUGGUAUUCUAGUGGCUAUACACUAUAGGGAAUCAGAAAUAAUAGCUUUAGUAUUGUGGUUUGAAUGUCUUCCAACUUUUUGUGAUUUAAUUGUAGCAGGUAUUUUGGUUUUGGAUGUAUCAAAACAUGAUUUCUCUGUGUAGCCCUUGAAUUCACAGAGAUCCACCUACCUCUGCCUCCUGAGUGCUAGGAUUAAAGGUGUGGGCCACCACUGUCCCAGCUAAUUAUAGCAGUUUUAAGCGGUUUUUAAUUUGUUCUAUUAUUCAUUUAUUUAAUUUUUUAAUUUUAGACAAUGUUUCUCUAGUGUGAGAAACCCUGUCCUGGAACUCUUAUGUGGACCAGGCUGGCCUGGAACUCACAGAGAACCACCUGCCUUUGCCUCCCAAAAGGAAGGAAUUUGCCACCACACCAGGCUUGUUUGUUUCGAGGCAGGAUCUAGGGAAUCUCAACUGGCCUUGAACUCAUUAUGUAGCUGAGGAUGACCUUUAUUUUCUGAUCCUCCUACCUCUACCUCCUAAGUGCUCGGAUUAUAGGCUUCUAUGACCAUAUCCAGUAUAUUCUGUAGUAUUGGGGUUCAAACCCAAGGCUUUCUACAAGCGAGGCAAUCACUCUACCCUUGUUUUUCUUUGAGAUAGGAUCUUAUGUUUAUGUAGUUCAGGGUAGUCUCUAACUAGUGAUCCACUUGCUGGAUAAGAGGUGGGGCUUCACAGAAUUGAUAAGGCUAUAGCUAUGAGAGCUCUGCCCUUAUGUGUUUCCAUUUUUAUUUUUAAAAUAAACUUUAUCAUAAAACUUGCAUAUGAAUAAAACAUCACACACCAAAAUUCUGGUGUACUAUUAUUGCGGGAGUAAGUUGUUCCUGUAAGAAAGUUCCUUACAAAAGGAGGAGUUUGACCUCUUUUUAUUUUUUAAAUUUUAUUUUUGUGUACAAUCGUGCCUGUGAGCUUGUUUGCACAUGAAGAGUGUGGAUGCCCACGGAGGCCAGAUGAGGCUGUUGGAUCCCUGGGGGCUGGAGUUAUGAGCAAUUGUGAGCUGUCCUAUGUGAGUGCCGGAAACUGAACUUAGGUCUUCUAGAAGAACAGCAGUCGCUCUUAACCACUGAGCCAUCUCUUUGCCCCAACCCUCUUUUCUUGCCUUCUCUUUGCUCUCCUACCAUAUAAUGGAAAACCACAAAAUGAUGCAGCAAGAAAGCCCUUUCUAGGGCUGCUUCUUAAUCUUGGGCUUUACAGCUUCCAGAAUUGUAAGAAAUACAUUUCUGUUCAGUUAUAAUGCCUAGCCUCAGGUCAUCUGAUUAUCACAGUAUAAAACAGGUUACGUCACUUAGUAUAAUCAAAUGAUCCAACACCUAAAACUUUCAAGACUUCCUUUAUUAUCUAAAAUGUCCAGUUUUCAACAAAAUAUUAUGACAUUAAAAAAAAAACCCAAAAAGUGUAAAUACUCUCAGUCAAGUAAAUGUACCUGAGUGUCCUCAGAUUUGUGAUUCCAAAUUUAAUAAAAGUAUGAUGACAAUGA